UACAGAGGGGGCAAGCGUUGUUCUGAAUUACUGGGCGUAAAGGGCGCGUAGGCGGCCUUCUAAGUCGAACGUGAAAUCCCCGGGCUCAACCCGGGAACUGCGUCCGAUACUGGAAGGCUUGAAUCCGGGAGAGGGAUGCGGAAUUCCAGGUGUAGCGCUGAAAUGCGUAGAUAUCUGGAGGAACACCGGUGGCGAAGGCGGCAUCCUGGACCGUCAUUGACGCUGAGGCGCGAAAGCCAGGGGAGCAAACGGG
rnacentral:rRNA from 1 species